rnacentral:rRNA from 1 species
AACCAGCACCUCAAGUGGUCAGGAUGAUUAUUGGGCCUAAAGCAUCCGUAGCCGGCUCUGUAAGUUUUCGGUUAAAUCUGUACGCUCAACGUACAGGCUGCCGGGAAUACUGCAGAGCUAGGGAGUGGGAGAGGUAGACGGUACUCGGUAGGAAGGGGUAAAAUCCUUUGAUCUAUCGAUGACCACCUGUGGCGAAGGCGGUCUACCAGAACAUGUUCGACGGUGAGGGAUGAAAGCUGGGGGAGCAAACCGG